rnacentral:rRNA from 1 species
GUAGUCUCGCACAGAUGCAUAUCAAUAAGCGGAGGAAAAGAAACUAACAAGGAUUCCCUUAGUAACGGCGAGUGAAGCGGGAAGAGCUCAAAUUUGAAAUCUUCAAAGUUUUACCUUGACGAAUUGUAGUUUAAAGAAGUGUUUUCUGUUGAAGUUUUGGUAAAAGUUCUUUGGAAUAGGACAUCAUAGAGGGUGAGAAUCCCGUAUUUGACCAUUAUUUUCAGCUGUGUGAUACACUUUCAAAGAGUCGGAUUGUUUGGGAAUGCAGUCCAAAAUGGGUGGUAAAUUUCAUCUAAAGCUAAAUAUUGGCGAGAGACCGAUAGCGAACAAGUACCGUGAGGGAAAGAUGAAAAGAACUUUGAAAAGAGAGUUAAACAGUACGUGAAAUUGUCAAAAGGGAAGCGUUUGACACCAGUGUUGUUUUCUCGAAAAUCAAUUAAAAAGAGUUUGAUUUUGUUGUGUAUUGACCUUAACAGCUUGCAUUUCAAUUUUCUUGCUUUUUUUAAUGCACUUUUCGUUUAACAAGUCAACAUCAGUUUCUUUUGUUGUAAAAAGGUCAUUGGAAGGUGGCUUUCUUUUCGGAGAAAGUGUUUAUAGCCUUUGACUCCUGCAAUCGGAGAGACUGAGGUCUGCAGCGUAGAUCCUUCGGGGUUAGAUACAUUUGUGCUAAGUUAUAGCUUUUUAUAGACAACUUGUUGACUAUGAUUAGUCUUGUAGCUUACUCGCUUAUGCUAUUUUACCUACGCUUAGGAAUGUUGAGCGCAUGUCUCUCUCU